AAUGAACGCUGGCGGCGUGCCUAACACAUGCCAGUCGGAUGUGCCGCAAGGUGCAUGGCAGACGGGUGAGUAACGCGUAGGGAAUCUACCUUUUUGUGGGGAAUAACGCUCCGAAAGGAGUGGUAAUACCGCAUGAGACCGUGAGCUGGGAUGUUCACGGUGAAACCUGGGGACCGCAAGGCCUGGGGCAAAAAGAGGAUCCUGCGUCUGAUUAGCUAGUUGGCGGGGUAAUGGCCCACCAAGGCGACGAUCAGUAGCCGGCCUGAGAGGGUGAUCGGCCACACUGGAACUGAGACACGGUCCAGACUCCUACGGGAGGCAGCAGUGGGGAAUUUUGCGCAAUGGACGAAAGUCUGACGCAGCAACGCCGCGUGGGUGAUGAAGGUCUUCGGACUGUAAAACCCUGUCGUCAGGGACGAAGGUGGCAGUGUUAAUAGCGCUGUUACUUGACGGUACCUGGAGAGGAAGCCCCGGCUAACUCUGUG
rnacentral:rRNA from 1 species